rnacentral:misc_RNA from 1 species
CCCUUGUGUAUAUUAUAUUGUUGCUUUAGCAGGUCGCCCUCUGGGGCGUCGGCCUCGGCUGACUGUGCCUGCUAGAGGACCCUAAACUUUGAAAUACAGUGUCGUCUGAGUACUAUUUAAUAGUUAAAACUUUCAACAACGGAUCUCUUGGUUCUGGCAUCGAUGAAGAACGCACCGAAAUGCGAUAAGUAAUGUGAAUUGCAGAAUUCAGUGAAUCAUCGAAUCUUUGAACGCACAUUGCGCCCCUUGGUAUUCCGGGGGGCAUGCCUGUUCGAGCGUCAUUUAGACCAACUCCCGCUCCGGCGGGGUCUUGGGCUGCGCCUUUGGGCGGGCCUUAAAACCAGUGGCGGUGCCCUAAGGCUCUACGCGUAGUAAUUCUUCUCGCGAUAGGGUCCUUGCGGUG